GAAGGGGCCACUCCAGAGGGUGAAGCUGAAGGACUGAUAUCUGAUGGCCAAUGGGCCUGCUGUGCCAUCUUUCUGAAUGAAGGAUUUAAGAACAUAGAUGGAGUCAUCGAAGUCCAGUGGCAAGACAAAACUCAAGAUGACUGGUGAUGGCUUGGGAUGCAGUGGAUGACCUCUAUGUCUUCAAUGUUUAGCCAAGUUCUAAGCUCUCUACGGUGCCUGCUUCAGCCACCUCUAUGGCUGUUGGAAAACUCUCCUGGCCAUGGCAAACAUUCAACACUCUCAGCAAUUUCAGAAACAGAUAGCUGUCAUUUUGAGGGGAGGCCAAUAAUGGGCAGGGUCUCAUAUCAGCUUGAGAGACAGAAGGAGCUGCAAGGGACACAAGAGAAACAACCAGGAAUGAAAUCAAAGACUCAGAAGGUGCAAGGGGGAAGCAACAUGGGGUGCCUGAAAAACAUGAGAGGAAUGCAGCAACAUACGAUGCCCCGGAGCUGCCAAGACAUGCACAGAUUGAGCAAAAAGUACAAAACCUUCAAGACCCACAAGGAGAGAACCAAAAUAGAUAUGGAGACAUAGUCAGAGACAUUAAAGAAACAUAUAAAAAUUUGCAACGAGGGAUACAAGAAGAGAGAGAACCUAGAUGUGUGCUGGAAAGAGAAACUAUAAAAUCAGUGUAUCAAAAAAUGCAACAGUAUUCGUAAGAGGCAAAGGAGAUGCAUUUUAAUGUUUUUUGGUACACCAUCUACAAGAGAUAAAAAAGAGUGACCAAAAUUGAGAACUUUAAAGAGUAACAGAAGUUGCUGGGUUUUACAGUGAGAACCCCUGAUCUAGAGAUACUGACUCAUAUUGCACUGGAAUCAGGAUCACUAUUUAUUCUGCUAAAUGUUUGUCAUUUCCUUUAACUGGGGUACACAUUACUAGAAGGCUCAGAUUUCCUUCUCACAGUCAGACACCAGCUCCAUUGUCUUGUCACUAACUAAUUUCAUCCUACUAGAGUAAAUGGAUUCUCCUUGGCCAGUGUAGCUAAAGUGUAGCAGCAUUCAACUCAUCUGUUCCCUGCCUAUUCAUGUUCUAAUCCACCUUUCUUCACUGGCUGGGGCUUGUUAUAUGUAGCAUUCUACUGAUACUCAGUUUGGAGAAGAGGUUUCCAACCUGCACAGAGCCACCCUCAAACACAAAAAGCAAGAUUGCAAUACAUAUACUAAUAAAAUGUUUUAGAUGAUUUGCAGGGGCUGCUUUUCCCCAUUCACUUAGUCACUAAUACCUCAGGCUUUACAAGUGCAUGUAUAUGUCUUGUCAGUCAGCUUAGUUGACAUCACAGAAUGUUUACAUAAUGGAUGCACUCCAUUGAGCCACCUGCACUGUCACAUCCACUGAGGAAGAUGCCAUUAUUUAAAAAAUUAUACAUAUGACAAUUCAUUUCUAUAAAUGUUUAUUGAGCAUUAAAAAAAAGGGUGAGGCCUAAGUGUUUGGUAACUUUAGGAGGCAGCUUUAAUUUAGAAGUGGGAAGUCUUCCCAGUUUUCUUACUAAUAAUUAACCUGAGAAUGACCUUGGAAGAAGUUAUAAUUAACUUAGUAUUAAGGGAACUGGAUGGAGAUGCCUGAUAAGGUUUCUUAGAGAAGUUGCAAAAGGGGAAAAAUUGUCGAACUUUUAGCAUGCAAAUUAUGUAGUUACAAGUGACUCUUCUUUAAAAGAAAACCAUUAACUCUAUAAAUUUUUUUUAUUGUUUAUUAUUUUUCAAGUAACUAACAUUUAAAAAAUUAAUCUAUUCUCUCAUAAACCCUUGCCCCACUGAGAAAAUCAAAUUGCUCAAAGCAAAGUCCAGCAAAACAAAUUCCCAUUAGCCAUGUCUGAAAAACAUAUCUCAGUGUUUUUUAAGUUUAUCACUUCUUUUGUCAGGAGGUGACACAUUUAGAGUCAUUAUUUAUCACUGCAUUGCCUGGAGUUCUAAAGGCUUUCCAAGUUGUUUUUCUCUAUAAUAUUGUUAUCAUUGUAUAAAUUAUUCUUAUUGCUCUAUUCACAUCAGUUUGUAAAAGUCUUCCUAGUUUCUUCUGAAACUGUGAGUUUCAUCAUUUCUUAUGGCAGGACAAUAUUCUGUGACAUUCCUAUUCCACAAUUUCUUUAGCCAUCACCCAAUAGGAGGACACGCAUUUAGUUAAUCAUUUUUGGCUAGCAUGAAAAAAGCUGUUAUAAAUAUUUUCAUACAUGUUCUUUUUAGAUCCUCCUCCUCUUUCUUUGAUAUCCUUGGCAGAGUCUGCGCCUACUGGUGGUAUAGCUUGGUAUAUGCACAGUUUGUUAACUUAAGGAUCAUAGUUCCAAACUGAUUUCCAGAAUGGUUGGACCAAUUUACACCAACAAUGUAUUAAUGUGCCUAUUUACCCACAGCUCCUCCAGCAUUUGCCGUGUUUACCAGUUUGUGAGAUAGAAUCUUGAAAUUGCUUUGAUUUGAUUUUCUCUAUUAGUGUUUUAGAAUAUUUAAAAAAAUAGCUAUAGAUAGCCUGGGUUUCUUUUUUUAAAAACUGGUGGUUCAAAUCUUUUGACCAUUUGUCUAGUGUGGAAUGGCUCUUUGUCAUAGAACUUUGAAUAAGUCCCUUUCAUAUCAUGGAAAUGACAUCUUAAUCAGAAAAAUAAAGAUAUCUCCUCCCCCCCAGUCACAUGUUGUCUUUUUAAUUUUUGCUACAUUA